CUUGACGAUCAUAGAGCGUUGGAACCACCUGAUCCCUUCCCGAACUCAGAAGUGAAACGACGCAUCGCCGAUGGUAGUGUGGGGUCUCCCCAUGUGAGAG
rnacentral:rRNA from 1 species